rnacentral:rRNA from 1 species
GACGUAGGGCGCGAGCGUUGUCCGGAUUUAUUGGGCGUAAAGAGCUCGUAGGCGGCUUGUUGCGUCGACUGUGAAAACCCGCGGCUUAACUGCGGGCUUGCAGUUGAUACGGGCAGGCUAGAGUUCGGUAGGGGAGACUGGAAUUCCUGGUGUAGCGGUGAAAUGCGCAGAUAUCAGGAGGAACACCGGUGGCGAAGGCGGGUCUCUGGGCCGAUACUGACGCUGAGGAGCGAAAGCGUGGGGAGCGAACCGG